rnacentral:rRNA from 1 species
UACAGAGGGGGCAAGCGUUAUUCGGAAUUAUUGGGCGUAAAGGGCGCGUAGGCGGCAUGGCAAGUGGAUGGUGAAAUCCCUCGGCUUAACCGAGGAACUGCCGUCCAAACUGCUUCGCUUGAGACCGGGAGAGGUGAGUGGAAUUCCCAGUGUAGCGGUGAAAUGCGUAGAUAUUGGGAGGAACACCAGUGGCGAAGGCGGCUCACUGGCCCGAUACUGACGCUGAGGCACGAAAGCGUGGGGAGCAAACAGG